AUUGAACGCUGGCGGCAGGCCUAACACAUGCAAGUCGAGCGGAUUUUUGGAGCUUUCUCCUGGAUUCUUCGGCGGACGGGUGUGUAAUGCCUAUGAAUCUGCCUGCUAUUGGGGUGUGACAUCCGCAAACGGGCGCUGCUACCACCUGCUACCUUUGGGGACCACUUGGGGUUCUUCGGACCUCUCGCUUUCAGCUACCACUAGGUCGGGUACGCUCGUUGGUGGUGUAAAGGCCUACAAAGGCGACGAUCCGUAACUGGUCUGCGAGGAGGAUCAGUAACACUGGAACUGAGAAACGGUCAAGACUCCUACGGGAGGAAGCAGAGGGGAAUAUUCGAAAAUGGGGGAAAGCCUGAGCAAGACAGGCCGCGGGUGGGAAGAAGGUCUUCGGAUGGUAAAGCACGUUAAGUUGGGAGGAAGGGCAGUAAGUGAAUACCUUGCUGUUUUGACGUUACCAACAGAAUAAGCAACGGCUAACUUCGUG
rnacentral:rRNA from 1 species